rnacentral:rRNA from 1 species
AGUGAACGCUGGCGGUAGGCCUAACACAUGCAAGUCGAAUGGCAGCACAGUAAGAGCUUGCUCUUACGGGUGGCGAGUGGCGGACGGGUGAGGAAUACAUCGGAAUUUACUUUUUCGUGGGGGAUAACGUAGGGAAACUUACGCUAAUACCGCAUACGACCUACGGGUGAAAGCAGGGGAUCUUCGGACCUUGCGCGAUUGAAUGAGCCGAUGUCGGAUUAGCUAGUUGGCGGGGUAAAGGCCCACCAAGGCGACGAUCCGUAGCUGGUCUGAGAGGAUGAUCAGCCACACUGGAACUGAGGCACGGUCCAGACUCCUACGGGAGGCAGCAGUGGGGAAUAUUGGACAAUGGGCGCAAGCCUGAUCCAGCCAUACCGCGUGGGUGAAGAAGGCCUUCGGGUUGUAAAGCCCUUUUGUUGGGAAAGAAAAGCAGCAGGUUAAUACCCCGCUGUUCUGACGGUACCCAAAGAAUAAGCACCGGCUAACUUCGUG